rnacentral:rRNA from 1 species
UACGUAGGGGGCAAGCGUUGUCCGGAUUUACUGGGCGUAAAGAGCGUGUAGGCGGCCAAGCAGGUCCGUUGUGAAAACUGGAGGCUUAACCUCCAGACGUCGACGGAAACCGCGUGGCUAGAGUCCGGAAGAGGAGAGUGGAAUUCCUGGUGUAGCGGUGAAAUGCGCAGAUAUCAGGAAGAACGCCAAUGGCGAAGGCAGCUCUCUGGGACGGUACUGACGCUGAGACGCGAAAGCGUGGGGAGCGAACAGG